rnacentral:rRNA from 1 species
AUACGAAGGGUGCAAGCGUUGUUCGGAUUUAUUGGGCGUAAAGCGUACGCAGGCGGAUAGGUAAGUCAGAUGUGAAAUCCCAGAGCUCAACUUUGGAACUGCGUCUGAAACUGCUUGUCUAGAGUCUUAGAGGGGGAAGGGGAAUUUCGCAUGUAGGGGUAAAAUCCGUAGAGAUGCGAAGGAACACCUGGAGUGAAGACGCCUUCCUGGAAAAGUACUGACGCUGAGGUACGAAAGCGUGGGGAGCAAACAGGAUUAGAUACCCUGGUAGUCCACGCCGUAAACGAUGAGAACUAGACGUUGUGGGAGUUGACCCCUGCAGCGUCGUAGCUAACGCGUUAAGUUCUCCGCCUGGGAAGUACGGUCGCAAGACUAAA